CUACGUGCCAGCAGCCGCGGUAAUACGGAAGGUCCAGGCGUUAUCCGGAUUUAUUGGGUUUAAAGGGAGCGUAGGCUGGAGAUUAAGUGUGUUGUGAAAUGUAGACGCUCAACGUCUGAAUUGCAGCGCAUACUGGUUUCCUUGAGUACGCACAACGUUGGCGGAAUUCGUCGUGUAGCGGUGAAAUGCUUAGAUAUGACGAAGAACUCCGAUUGCGAAGGCAGCUGACGGGAGCGCAGCUGACGCUUAAGCUCGAAGGUGCGGGUAUCAAACAGGAUUAGAUACCCUGGUAGUCCGCACAGUAAACGAUGGAUGCCCGCUGUUGGUACCUGGUAUCAGCGGCUAAGCGAAAGCAUUAAGCAUCCCACCUGGGGAGUACGCCGGCAACGGUGAAACUCAAAGGGAUUGACGGGGGCCCGCACAAGCGGAGGAACAUGUGGUUUAAUUCGAUGAUACGCGAGGAACCUUACCCGGGCU
rnacentral:rRNA from 1 species